AUCAAUGAGCAGUAUAGAAGCUUGCUAUCACUUUUGCCUUCUAAACACCUGAAAUUGCAGUUUUCUGAGUUAAAAGUCCUUUUAUUCUAUUUUUUUAAAAUUUACAAACCUGUGAGAGCAGGCAUCUACAGAACUAAGAGCACUCUGGCAGACGGGAAAGCAAAAGAGAAGUGGAUUGCUGUGGCCAUGAAAAUUUAACAUUGCUACCCUUAAGUCUUCUAAAUACUUAAAACUGUUUCACUGAGCAGUCUCAGAUUUGAGUCAGGUUUGUGCUAGAUUACAAUUUGCACAAGAAGGAGGCUGUACUGGACAAACCAUUCCCUGUAGUAACUAUUUUUUAAGAGGAAAUGUGUUGCCCAUACUAGUUACUUUAUAAUACAGUGUCCUUAUCUCAAAAGAACAAAUCCACUUUCUCCAACAAAUAGCCCUUUUUAUGAUGGCUCCAGCUUAGCUGGUUUGCACUCUCCCCUUGUACACUAACUUUCCCUCUGCCACUUCAGUGUUUCUAACCAAUGUUUGCUUUAGAGUAGGAUUUACUAGCAGUGGAGUAGUUGCUUAUUCUGAAGCCUGAAAGUCAAUGCAGAGCAUGAGCCCUGAAAAAUCAGGUUUCUUAUUGCUUAGAGCAGCUAAUAAAACCAGGAAAUAAAUAGUCUUUGAAAACCCAACAAACCAACCAAAGCCUCCCACACAUUUCAGGUCACUUCAGCAUUUAUAAACUAAGUAACGUUUUGUUGGUUUGGCAAUUACCAGCAUGGAUUAACAUUUAUUUUUUUGCUAAGUGAAUUUGCCAAGACACUUUAUUCUGAGGCAGUGAGCCAAAGCCAGAUGGGACACGAACCAGCUCCUUCCUGCAGAUGAGAACAGCGCCCACCUUGAGUACCACAGGGAACGGCUGUGUGGCCAAGCCACAGUGUUGUCACUGUGUCAGUGUCUAGUCCAGGCUUCAGGUUGAACAGGGGAGUCACUUCAGCGUUGCCAUAGCCAGCAAAUGUGACCGCAGCUGUUCCGUUCUCCUCAUCUAUUUCUUCAAUCUCAGCUUCAUAACACCUGUAAAGAUAUCAUGGCUGUAAGCAUGCCCAGCUCUACACUCCAGAACUUAAUGCCCACAGAUACCAUCUCCAAUUACAGAGGAUGACAGCUACCAUCAAUUCUACUCGACACAAAAGAUAAGGCAGCCUCGACUUGCUGAAGCUGAGCUUUGUAGCUAGCUAGCUGCUUAGCAAGGUCUUCUGACAUCUGCAAGAAACACAACACAUCAAAACAACAGGCUUGCCCUUUUUAAUCAAGUACUGUCGUGCAAGUGAAACUGACAAAUAACAGUGAGAAUUACUAGUAAAGUAUUAAAAACGCAACUAAGUUUCAGUAACGCACUACUCGAAUAGCUGCUCACCUUGGGGUUUGUAUUGUUCAGCUACUAUCAAAACACUUCUAAAUAAAGGAACGCUUAAACA